rnacentral:rRNA from 1 species
UUUCGCAAUGCCCGAAAGGGUGACGAAGCGACGCCGCGUGUGGGAAGAAGGCCUUCGGGUUGUAAACCACUGUCGGGAGUUAAGAAAUGCAAGGAUAUUAAUAGUGUCUUUGUUUGACUAAGGCUCCGGAGGAAGCCACGGCUAACUCUGUGCCAGCAGCCGCGGUAAUACAGAGGCGGCAAGCGUUGUUCGGAAUUAUUGGGCGUAAAGAGCACGUAGGCGGCUAUGUAAGUCGGUUGUGGAAGCCUUCCGCUCAACGGAAGAACAGCAUCCGAUACUACAUGGCUUGAGUGCGGGAGGGGAGAGUGGAACUUCUGGUGGAGCGGUGAAAUGCGUAGAUAUCAGAAGGAACGCCGGCGGCGAAAGCGGCUCUCUGGCCCAUAACUGACGCUGAGUGUGCGAAAGCUAGGGGAGCAAACGGGAUUAGAUACCCCGGUAGUCCUAGCCGUAAACGAUGGGCACUAAGUAGAGGGGUU